rnacentral:rRNA from 1 species
CCCUUAGAUGUUCUGGGCCGCACACGCGCUACACUGAAGGAGGCAGCGUGUACUCCUGGAUCGAAAGAUUUGGGUAACCCGCGAAUCUCCUUCGUGCUAGGGAUUGAGGUUUGCAAUUAUCCUUCAUGAACGAGGAAUUCCCAGUAAGUGCAAGUCAUAAGCUUGCGCUGACUACGUCCCUGCCCUUUGUACACACCGCCCGUCGCUCCUACCGAUUGAAGUUUUCGGUGAAUUUGCAGGAGGUUUGCUUUGAAACUGGUUCGCCAGUGGAUUUGUGGACCAAAUGCAUGUGAAUCGAUGGCUUUAGAGGAAGGAGAAGUCGUAACA